rnacentral:rRNA from 1 species
GAUGAACGCUGGCGGCGUGCCUAAUACAUGCAAGUCGGGCGAACAGACGAGGAGCUUGCUCCUCUGACGUUAGCGGCGGACGGGUGAGUAACACGUGGAUAACCUACCUAUAAGACUGGGAUAACUUCGGGAAACCGGAGCUAAUACCGGAUAAUAUAUUGAACCGCAUGGUUCAAUAGUGAAAGACGGUUUUGCUGUCACUUAUAGAUGGAUCCGCGCCGCAUUAGCUAGUUGGUAAGGUAACGGCUUACCAAGGCAACGAUGCGUAGCCGACCUGAGAGGGUGAUCGGCCACACUGGAACUGAGACACGGUCCAGACUCCUACGGGAGGCAGCAGUAGGGAAUCUUCCGCAAUGGGCGAAAGCUUGACGGAGCAACGCCGCGUGAGUGAUGAAGGUCUUCGGAUCGUAAAACUCUGUUAUUAGGGAAGGACAAAUGUGUAAGUAACUAUGCACGUCUUGACGGUACCUAAUCAGAAAGCCACGGCUAACUACGUG